rnacentral:rRNA from 1 species
AAAAAGGGUGGUAAUGCCGGAUGCUCCGACUCCUCGCAUGGGGUGUCGGGAAAGAUUUCAUCGGUAUGGGAUGGGGUCGCGUCCUAUCAGGUAGUCGGCGGGGUAACGGCCCACCGAGCCUACGACGGGUAGCCGGCCUGAGAGGGCGACCGGCCACAUUGGGACUGAGAUACGGCCCAGACUCCUACGGGAGGCAGCAGUGGGGAAUAUUGCACAAUGGGCGCAAGCCUGAUGCAGCGACGCCGCGUGCGGGAUGACGGCCUUCGGGUUGUAAACCGCUUUUGAUCGGGAGCAAGCCUUCGGGUGAGUGUACCUUUCGAAUAAGCACCGGCUAACUACGUGCCAGCAGCCGCGGUAAUACGUAGGGUGCAAGCGUUAUCCGGAAUUAUUGGGCGUAAAGGGCUCGUAGGCGGUUCGUCGCGUCCGGUGUGAAAGUCCAUCGCUUAACGGUGGAUCUGCGCCGGGUACGGGCGGGCUGGAGUGCGGUAGGGGAGACUGGAAUUCCCGGUGUAACGGUGGAAUGUGUAGAUAUCGGAAAAAAACACCA